GACGAACGCUGGCGGCGUGCUUAACACAUGCAAGUCGAACGGGAGUAUUGAAGAAGCUUGCUUUAGAGAUACUUUAGUGGCGGACGGGUGAGUAACGCGUGAGGAGCUGUCCUAUGCAGGGGGACAACAGCUGGAAACGGCUGCUAAUACCCCAUAAGCCGAGAGGUAAAAGGAUCAAUCCGGCAGAGGAGGUACUCGCGUCCUAUCAGCUAGUAGGUGAGGUAACGGCUCACCUAGGCGAAGACGGGUAGCCGGCCUGAGAGGGCGAACGGCCACACUGGAACUGAGAUACGGCCCAGACUCCUACGGGGGGCAGCAAUUAGGAAUCUUGCGCAAUGGGCGAAAGCCUGACGCAGCAACGCCGCGUGACUGAUGAAGUCUUUCGGGAUGUAAAGGUCUUUUCUGAAGGAAGAAACAAAUGACGGUACUUCAGGAAUAAGCCCCGGCUAACUACGUG
rnacentral:rRNA from 1 species